UGGGGAAUCUUAGACAAUGGGCGCAAGCCUGAUCUAGCCAUGCCGCGUGAGUGAUGAAGGCCUUAGGGUCGUAAAGCUCUUUCGCCUGUGAAGAUAAUGACUGUACCAGGUAAAGAAACCCCGGCUAACUCC
rnacentral:rRNA from 1 species